rnacentral:rRNA from 1 species
CCUACGGGAGGCAGCAGUGGGGAAUAUUGCACAAUGGGGGAAACCCUGAUGCAGCGACGCCGCGUGAGUGAGGAAGUAUUUCGGUAUGUAAAGCUCUAUCAGCAGGGAAGAAAAUGACGGUACCUGACUAAGAAGCCCCGGCUAACUACGUGCCAGCAGCCGCGGUAAUACGUAGGGGGCAAGCGUUAUCCGGAUUUACUGGGUGUAAAGGGAGCGUAGACGGCUAAUCAAGUCAGAAGUGAAAGCCCAGGGCUCAACUUUGGGACUGCUUUUGAAACUGAGUAGCUAGAGUGCAGGAGAGGUAGGCGGAAUUCUUGGUGUAGGGGUGAAAUGCGUAGAGAUCAAGAGGAACACUGAUUGCGAAGGCGACCUACUGGAACGUUACUGACGUUGAUGCACGAAAGCGUGGGGAGCAAACAGGAUUAGAUACCCUGGUAGUC